UACGGAGGGGGCUAGCGUUGUUCGGAAUUACUGGGCGUAAAGCGCACGUAGGCGGCUUUGCAAGUUAGAGGUGAAAGCCCGGGGCUCAACUCCGGAAUUGCCUUUAAAACUGCAUCGCUAGAAUUGUGGAGAGGUAAGUGGAAUUCCGAGUGUAGAGGUGAAAUUCGUAGAUAUUCGGAAGAACACCAGUGGCGAAGGCGACUUACUGGACACAUAUUGACGCUGAGGAGCGAAAGCCAGGGGAGCAAACGGG
rnacentral:rRNA from 1 species